rfam:Ancylostoma duodenale strain Zhejiang A_duodenale-1.0_Cont34918.1, whole genome shotgun sequence.
GGCUGCGUGGUGUAGUGGUUAUCACAUCUGUCUUACACACAGAAGGUCGCCGGUUCGAUCCCGGCCGCGGUCA